UGGGGAAUAUUGCACAAUGGGGGAAACCCUGAUGCAGCGACGCCGCGUGAACGAAGAAGGUAUUCGUAUCGUAAAGUUCUGUCCUAUGGGAAGAUAAUGACAGUACCAUAGAAGAAAGCUCCGGCUAAAUACGUGCCAGCAGCCGCGGUAAUACGUAUGGAGCGAGCGUUGUCCGGAAUUAUUUGGCGUAAAGGGUACGCAGGCGGUUUAAUAAGUCGAAUGUUAAAGAUCGGGGCUCAACCCCGCAAAGCAUUGGAAACUGAUAAACUUGAGUAGUGGAGAGGAAAGUGGAAUUCCUAGUGUAGUGGUGAAAUACGUAGAUAUUAGGAGGAAUACCAGUAGCGAGGGCGACUUUCUGGACACAAACUGACGCUGAGGUACGAAAGCGUGGGGAGCAAACAGG
rnacentral:rRNA from 1 species